rnacentral:piRNA from 1 species
UCUUCACCUCGAUCUUCAACA